UCACAAAAAUGUUUAUCAUUCCAAUCAAGCCUACACACAACAUUUUCAAGCAAGAAUAUUCUACAGGCAGAAUCUAAAGCAUACUGAUGCCAAAAGAACACGGGACUGACAACUAGAGCAACUAACAGAAGUGACCAGAAGUCCAAGAUCAACCGAAUCUGAGAGCACCACAGAGCACCAACCACCAAUAACAAUAAUCACCUGAAAAUGGAGAGGAAGAAAUUUACCUCAGUAAUAUGAAUGCAUCCCCUGGUACAUACCCCCAGGUGCAACUCUAGGUGCAGCUGAUGCCCCAGGGCCUUGGUUUUGUAGCCCGUGAGGUUGAUGUAAAGGACCGUAAUGAGAACCCUGUGGUGGAUAAUCUCCCGAGGGCAUCCCGGCUGAGCUUGGGGGUAACCCAUACAUUGAAGAUCCACGGCCAGCACCACCUAAUGUACUACCAGCGCCAGGUAAUCCACCAGCAGCACCUCCCACUGCCCCAGCACCGCCAUAACCACUACCGG
rnacentral:lncRNA from 1 species